rnacentral:rRNA from 1 species
UGGGGAAUCUUGGACAAUGGGCGCAAGCCUGAUCCAGCCAUGCCGCGUGGAUGAUGAAGGCCUUAGGGUUGUAAAAUCCUUUCGCCGAGGACGAUAAUGACGGUACUCGGAGAAGAAGCUCCGGCUAACUUCGUGCCAGCAGCCGCGGUAAUACGAAGGGGGCUAGCGUUGUUCGGAUUUACUGGGCGUAAAGCGCGUGUAGGCGGGUCGUUAAGUUGGGGGUGAAAUCCCGAGGCUCAACCUCGGAACUGCCUUCAAAACUGGCGACCUGGACCUAAGUAGAGGCAAGUGGAAUUGCGAGUGUAGAGGUGAAAUUCGUAGAUAUUCGCAGGAACACCAGUGGCGAAGGCGACUUGCUGGACUUAUGGUGACGCUGAGACGCGAAAGCGUGGGGAGCAAACGGGAUUAGAUACCCUUGUAGUCCCUGAGCGGGCUGGCAAGGCGCAU